rnacentral:rRNA from 1 species
GACGGAGGGUGCUAGCGUUGUUCGGAAUCACUGGGCGUAAAGGGCGCGUAGGCGGCCUCAGGUGUCGGAUGUGAAAGCCCGGGGCUCAACCCCGGAGGUGCAUCCGAAACUCUGGGGCUGGAGGUCGGAAGAGGAGGGUGGAAUACCCAGUGUAGAGGUGAAAUUCGUAGAUAUUGGGUGGAACACCGGUGGCGAAAGCGGCUCUCUGGAACGGUACUGACGCUGAGACGCGAAAGCGUGGGGAGCGAACAGG